UUAAAAAGCUAGCUCUCUGCAACUCUCACAUGGUCGCCCACUGAAGCUAAGCAGGGCUGUGCCGGGUCAGUACCUGGAUGGGAGACCACAUGGGAAAGCUAGGUUGCUGUGUGUG
ensembl:rRNA 5S_rRNA 5S ribosomal RNA